rnacentral:misc_RNA from 1 species
UCAAACUUGGUCAUUUAGAGGAAGUAAAAGUCGUAACAAGGUUUCCGUAGGUGAACCUGCGGAAGGAUCAUUACCGAGUGAGGGUCUUCACAGGCCCGACCUCCCAACCCUUUGUCUACCGAACCUUUUUUUUAACUGAAGACGUCGGGGGCGCUCGCCCUCGACCGAUUCAUUAAAACUCUUUUGACGGUCUUGACCGACCGAAAAAAUAUUGAAACUAUUAAAAACUUUCAACAACGGAUCUCUUGGUUCUGGCAUCGAUGAAGAACGCAGC